AAAGAAAGAGAGCAAAAAUGGAAUCACAACGCAACAAAGAACCACCACUCUGCGCUAAUGGCUGUGGCUUCUAUGGAACAGUAGAGAAUCGGAAUUUAUGCUCCAAGUGUUAUGAAGAAUACCAACAGCAAGAAGAGAAUGCUUCUAGUUUCUUGCACGAGAAAGUUAAAUGCUCAAGGCUGCUGAAGCGCCAUCAGUGUAGUAUGUUACUAGUAUGUCACUGACAGAAGUCUCUCCAAAAUUUAGAAGAGGUGGUAGAAAGGAAAAGGGCUGGGCUUGAUCCUUGAUAAGGAAGGUACCAUUAACUAUUAAGCUGGACAAAUUGCUAAAGAUUGAGAAAAUUUUAGAAAUAUGAACUGAUACCAGAGUUGUUGUUUGGAUAUUAUAGCUUGUCAAGUUUUCAUUUAGUCAUCUACUGGUGGUAACUGUUUUAGGUCAAGGCUCUGUUUCAUUUUUAUGUUUUCUGUCCUCAGUUGUUUUUGUUGGUUUGAUUUUGUGUGGGGUUUGUGGUUGGUGCUCCCUUAGGUUUGGGUGUAUGAGGGAUUGCCUAAUGGAAAGGUCUUAGUUUGGAGCCCUUCCCUGCCCUCUGUUUCC
rnacentral:misc_RNA from 1 species